UUGGCUACAGCAACCGGGUGGUGGAUCUCAUGGUCCACAUGGCCUCCAAGGAGUAAGAGCCUCCUGGACCACCAGCCCCAGCAAGAACAAGAGGGAGAGAGGCCCUCAGCUGCUGGGGAGUCCCUGCCCCAACUUAAUCCCCCAACACACUGAGAAUUUCCUGACCUCCAAUUUACAUCCCAGACCCCGAGGAAGGGGAGGGGCUUGGGGAGCCCUACCUUGUCAUGUACCAUCAAUAAAGUAUACUGUACCCCCCCCCCAAAAAAAAAGAACACCCUGGAGAGGACAAAGGAAAGACAGUAAAGUGAAACCUGCCUAGAAGACACUGUCCCCAAUUUCCACUCUGAUAUUCAGUUGGUACACACCAUUUCAGCCACACAAAGUUAGGAGCUAUACUCUGGCCAGAGCCUGCUAUGUGUCCCCACUGCUGCCCUGACCCCUUCCAAGAUCCCUAGCAGGGCUUCAGGAUCCAGACAUUAGAAAGGUAACACAUGGCUGAGCAGGGGUCCUCUGGCCACCUUUAGAUUGGUUACUUGUCUCGCUGUUAAAUAUUUGUCUAGUGUUAAAUGUUUGACUAUCGUCUUUGGUGAUAACACCUAUUUCAUAGGAAAUAGGAGCUGGAAUCCAGGAAACAGGAGCUGGAAGAUUCCAUUUGAAGGUAGAUAUGAAGCUUCUUAUCAAUGCCAGACAACUGGUGGUUUGCUACAGAACACUCAAAAAUUGCAAAGAGAAAUAUUGUGCUCGGGAAAUUUGUACGGGCAUUUUCUCCAAUAUCAUCCUUAUGUUCUUCUGAGCCUCUCCUGAACUGUUGGACUAAAGCAGCCAACUCUUCCACCAGCAACCAGAGUCGUCCUUGUUCACUACUGUGGGAACAGAGGGUUUCCAUUUUGAACUAAAGGCUGAGCAUAUAGUCUGGUGGUCUUCAUUGCCAAGAAAGCAGGUGCAGGGUGGGCGGAGCAUGGAGACAAGCACCAGGGGGGAGGCCUCCAUGUGACUGGGAAAGCUCACAAUGAGCCAACAGGGCCAUUUCAACAUCUUCUGUAUUUUAGCUAUACCUUGUUUCAUUCCAGAGUGGAUUUGAGGUCAUUUGGUUUGAUUCUUAAAUGUUUCCCAUUCUGGGGCACCUGGGUGGCUCAGUGGUUGAGCAUCUGCCUUUGGCUCAGGGCAUGAUCCCAGGGUCCUGGGAUCGAGUCCCGCAUCAGGCUCCCCCACAGGGAGCCUGCUUCUCCGUCUGCCUAUGUCUCUGCCUCUCUGUGUGUGUCUCAUGAAUAAAUAAAUAAAUAAAUAAAUAAAUAAAUAAAUA
rnacentral:lncRNA from 12 species